CACCCCAUGUGCUCAAAUUGGUAUUUUAAUUAUAUUGAAUUUACACUCUUCUAUUCAGUGUGCAUUUGCCAAUUUUAUAAUUCAAACUUUUAUGUUUCUUUUAUGUUACUUAAAAUAAUGCUGUUAGCCCCAGCAGAUUUAUGACUGAAUUGAGAUUGAAAGGAGUUAUCAUCAUUAUUAUAAUUAGCCUUUCUGCAAAGCUUCUUAAAAAAUGGAUGCUUUUUUUCUUUUCAAAAAUACAUAGCAAAGAAAAUUGGUUUGUUUCGUCUUGUUUUUGUUUUUUUGCUCUCACCCACUCAGAUUACUAUUAUUAUAUUUUAUUUUUGUUAUUGACUUUUGAGCCAGUGUGGUAAAACAAAGUACAGUUCUAAACGUGCAUUUGUGAAUCUACAUCUGUAAUUCAUGAUGAUGGUGUCCGAUAAAUGAACAUGCUAACACGCAAACACAAUAACAUAAUUUGUCUGUGCGAAAUACUAAACAGCAGCGCAUUAGCACUGAAAUGAGUGUUAAUGAGUCAUGACGGGUAUCCUGGCUGGUCCACUGAUAUUAAGUUCUCACACAACAAGCCAGUCUAGCACCAACAUGAGUUUGAAGUUUUAUUUUUUUUUACUUUAGGAUAAAUUUCAAUGUUAGCACAUGAUGACUCCCGGAAUGUGAAUCUAGAAUCUGUUUCACAUGUCGCUAUUUUGUGUAGAAGGCACUGACAUGUAAUGUUGGGAUGAAAAUGUUUGACCUUCGGAGGGAGUAUCAGCCACAACAGACACCUGUUUGUGUGUGUGCGUGUGUGUGUGUGUGUGUUGGGGGGGGGGGGGUGAAGCUCUGCUAUGUUUGGUGGGUAGGGACCAAGUGAUGCCCUGCCAUCCUCAAAGGCUUUUAGUUGCCUGUAGAUGUCACAAUAUGGCGCCAAAGCACUGGUUUUGUCUAAAUGAAACACUUCAACUCACUUCCAAUCGAUCCUUGACACAAAAAUGCCACGCAAUUGUCACAAAAUAAUACUUUUAUUGCUUUGGCCUAAGCACCAAGACCGCAAAAUAUGUGGAUUUUUCAGUGAAUAUCUGAGGACAGGUUUAAAGAAAAAAAAAAGCGAACAUGUGAGUUGGCGACUCUCGAACCCAAAAAAUAAAUGAAUACUCACGUGACACAAAACAGCACAGUAUUCAUUUAUUUUUUGCUGUCCAUUAUUUAUUUAUGUACCGAAAUUAAUUAUUUUGCUGUCCAAGACUAGGCAUUAUUGUGUGAAGACACAGUUGCGGCAAUAUCUGAGUGUAAGUAUCUUGAGUGCAAGAGGCUUCCGUUUUUUAAACCAUGCUGAAAAUUGAACCUAGCGAGUUCUCAUAUUUGCUAAUUUAUACAAAACACAAUUCGGCAUCAUGACAAUAUGUGAUUAAAAUCCAUCCAGCCUUGUUACUGGACCGAAAAAGUGCAACAUUACAACAUCGCCCCCGGGCCGACACUCUAUAAUGUGAAAACAUCAAAUUGCAGUGCCCACACACACACACACACACACACAUAUUUGUGGCAUUGAGUAUGCAGAGAGACGCUUGAUGACACGCGUGAAGCAGUCACCCACACGCCUCGUCAAGCUCACGCAUCUCAUGCGUCCAGCUGCUCCCUCUCCAUCUCAGGAGGCCUCCCUCCCACCUGUGUCACCGCUCGGCUGUUACACCUCCACACAUUUUGUCAUGCAUCCAUGGCGGAUUCAAAUUUUGCCUCACAGUACCAGUGGUGUAGAUGAUCAGACCUAGAAAAAGCCAGCAUGUAAACUAUUUGCAUUUGGGUAGACGAGGCAUUAGAAGUUGGUUCGUCAUCACAAGUUACCAUGACAGUUUGGGACAAUUGUAUGCAGCCAAGUUGGGAACAAUAUGGCGGAGGCCCUUUUUUUUAUGUCAAGCCGUGCUUGAUUAAGGUGUGGGAAAAUAUUUCCAUUAAGGCCAGAGAUUAGAUUUGUUGAAUAAAUUGUGAGUUUCCCAUCUAGUAAAUUCUAUAUUAGGCGAGACAAAAUGUAUCGGACCGGCAAGGUCAAUUGUUUUGUUUUGUUUGUAUAAUAGACAAUAGCCCUUUCAGGGACAGCGGUUACCAGAGUGGACAGCUUAUCGUGUUAUCAGGUUGCAGGUUAUCAUUAUUGGUGCAUGAAAAAGGGAUAGACAAAUAUGAGACAAAAGUUCCAAAGUGCAGCUUUUAUUUAGUGGUAUUUACAUCUCUUGGUGUU